AAUACCCCUGACAUUUAUCCUGGAAAUCCACAUGUUCCUAGAAGAUGGCAUGGGAGCCAUGGAAUCUGGAGUAAAGAUUGGUCAUGACCAACCAUAUGGGAGCUGAACUCUAUCUUUUGGAAGAGAACACAGUACUCUUAAUUGCUUAACCAUCUGUCCAUCACUAUUGUGCCCAGUCUUUCAAAACUAAGAACAUGUCCUCACCCAACCUGCAACAUGGGUUCGAAGUCUUAUGAUUUUUCAAACAUCUGAAAUGACAAGACCACAGUCAGAAGUAUAAUACCUAACAUCCUAAGGACUAGAGAGAACCAAGAGAGAUGGAACUGGGAUCAGUUAAAGUGCUUCCCUGAUGGAUAACUGUCCACUGUUCUUCUAAGAAGCUGAUGCAACUGACAUCAUUUAGAAAAUGAUUUUAUUUCAACAGUAAAC
rnacentral:lncRNA from 1 species